AAAGUAGAUAUUUGGAAGAAUGUUGGUAACCAAAACCUUUGGUGACCAUUGACUUCCAUUUGUAUGGACAUAAACACUGAGACAUUCUCGAAAUAUCUUCUUUUGGGUUCCACAGAUGACGGUAACUCAUAUAGGUUUGGAACAACAUAAGGGGCAGUGCAUGAUUAAGAUUUUUUGGUGAACUCUCUCUUUUGACCAUACUAUAAAUUUUAUCUGUUUAUAGUACCAUUUGAAGGCAGGCAUAUAGUGACAACAUCAUUCAAUUGUAAACUCUGUAAUGCAAUAAAAUGUUUUUCUCCUUCCAUUUACAGAAAUUUUGUUCUCUCCACAACUCAUGCAACUGCAGUACAUUUAAAUGCAAUGAGAAAUGUUCCACAGACCCUUCUAAAGGAACAUGCAGAACCUCUGGAAGCAGUUGCCUGUUAUCCUAAACAGCCACUCAUAGCUAUGGGCAGCCACAGUGGAACCAUUAAGAUUUGGGAUUAUGAGCGUAAAGAGGCAAUCUGCAGGGUCUUCCAGCCCCGCAAUCAGAUCCAGUGUAUUACCUACGAUCCACAAGAAUGCUGGUAAAGCUGUGAUGUUGCUCUGUCUGUGUUCCGGUGUACUUGGUAGUACCAAGGCAGGCACCACUCACAUUAUAAACCCAUUCAGGACAUGCUGUUUGGAAUGGGUUUAGACAACAGUCAGCCUCGCCUCCUCUCUCUAGGCAUGGAUCGCUGGUGGAGUAGGAUCUGCAAAACAGUGGUUAGUGGUUAACAAAAUAGGAUGUUGAUUUUGAGUUCUGAUCAUAUAGAGCAAAGUGCUGUACCCACUUGCAUGGUGUGGUAUCCUCCCCUGACACCCAAACACUUCCUCCUUACAGCUUCCAAUCUGAAUAAGAUGAAGCUCUUCAAUGCUACCUCCAAAAUGUGCAGGUUUACUACAGGUAGAACAAAUAGAAAUAUCACUGAAAUAACAGUUAUCUGGUUUAGUUUGCAGAAU